rnacentral:RNase_P_RNA from 1 species
AUAAAUGGUCAAUUGCUGCAUUUAUGUGUAGAGGAAAGUCCGUGCUUACACAAUCUGAGAUGAUUGUAGUGUUUGUGCUAAUGCUAAUAACAUUAGGUAAUCUUAAUUGAUUGACGUCUGGAUAUUUUGGACUCUAUGAGUUGACAAUAUUCUGUAAAAGUGCCACAGUGACGAAGUUUUUAGUGAUAAAAAAGUGAAACGCGGUAAACACCACAAGUAAGAAACCCAAAUAUUGGUAGGGGAACUAAUUAAAGCGAAAUGAAGCUAAAAUUAGAUAAGAUCAUUCUUAUAGAUAAAUAAUUGACAUUUCAUUUGAAAUACAGAACACGGCUUAUAAUU